UACGUAGGGGGCAAGCGUUGUCCGGAUUUAUUGGGCGUAAAGAGCUCGUAGGCGGUUUGGUAAGUCUGGUGUGAAAUCUCCACGCUCAACGUGGAGGGGCCACCCGAUACUGCCAUGACUGGAGUCCGGUAGAGGAGUGUGGAAUUCCCGGUGUAGCGGUGAAAUGCGCAGAUAUCGGGAGGAACACCAGCGGCGAAGGCGGCAAACUGGAUAGGCACUGACACUCAACAACGAAAGCGUGGGGAGCAAACAAG
rnacentral:rRNA from 1 species